rnacentral:lncRNA from 1 species
ACAAUCAAUUACCUCCUGAAUGUUUCAUCUCUAUUUUCAAUAUCUGAACAUACAAGGAAACUAUAAUCUCUUCCUUCACCUUAUCGGUCUCUUCCUUACAGCAAUUCAGUCAUACCAAUAACUGCUAUUUCUACCAAUAUAUUCACCCUCAUAAUCUCCAACUGUAAUACUGUGCCAUCACAGCUUUCAGCACACAAUUACCCUCGUUCCAAUCACUGGAAUUCUUGACACAGAACUGCCUUUUAUAUAACAAUGUUUCACACAAAUAUAAACUUAUUCUCUCUACUGAACUACAAUCAGAUUUCAGCAUUCAAUCUUUCUUCUUCUCAAAUAAUACCAAUUACAUUUCCAUUCCAUAAUUUGCUUCACAAUAUUCAAAAACUCUCAAUCCUCUUAUUCAAAGAAAAUAAUAAACAAAAAAAAAGAGGUAGCACCAAGCUUAUCCCGGCUCACAACUAUCACAGCAAUGGCCCUUGGUUCAUGACUAUCACAGUCUAGCCUUAAUAAACUUCUACAACUCUUAUAUAUUUUCCCCUGAUUCUUCAGAUUCUAACCGUAAUUCUGUAAUUAACCACUUUUAAUAACUAAAUCAUUCAUCCGUCCUCCUGAAUUUUCUAUUAUAUGGACUAUUAAUAUAUUUUAUCAAUAUCUUU